rnacentral:rRNA from 1 species
UACGGGGGGGGCAAGCGUUGUUCGGAAUUACUGGGCGUAAAGGGCUCGUAGGCGGCUUGUCGCGUCGGCUGUGAAAUCCCGUGGCUCAACUGCGGGUCUGCAGCCGAUACGGGCAGGCUAGAGUUCGGUAGGGGAGACCGGAAUUCCUGGUGUAGCGGUGAAAUGCGCAGAUAUCAGGAGGAACACCGGUGGCGAAGGCGGGUCUCUGGGCCGAUACUGACGCUGAGGAGCGAAAGCGUGGGGAGCGAACAGG